CGAGGCCGCCAGGGUGGGGUGGGGCCGGGGAGGGUGGCAGGAGGCUGGACCUGGUGGGACAUGCAGGGGGGCAGGCGCUGUGCCCCUCUGAGAGGCCGGCGUGGGGAGGGGGCUGCAGUGCCCUCCUCCUCGGUGUGUGUAUUGACGGACAUGACAUAAGUGGGUUCACCUAGGAUGCAGGUGCUGCACGAGGAGGGGCCACAUGGGAUGGGUAGCGGGGACAGCGGCCUUCAGCCUGCUUGCUGGGGAGGAUCAGGGAAGAGCAGAGCCGUCCCCUGCUGUGUUCCAGCACCUCUGCCCCCACCCUUACUCCCCCCCCCCCGUGUGGGAUGCGGGGGUCCAGGCUCUCCUGGACAUUUGCUGGAGGAAACUUGCUGUAAGGGCCACUGCGUCCAGGGCCAGAGGACUUGCAGGUGGGAGGUGGGGAGAGGGGGCCCCGGGGCCAGGAGGCCAGCAGGUUUUCUUCUUCUUUUUAUAAAGUGCUGAUUCUGGGGCCGUGUUCUAACUGGGAGGUGAGCUGUCACCCUCAGAGAUGUGGUCAGAAGUUGGGUUCGAAGUUGUGUGUGGCUGAUGAGGGGGGCGGUCGCAGAUGCUGUGUUGGGUUUGGUGGCACUGCUGCUCCCUGGAGAGGGGAUAGAGUCUGAGCGGGGACAGGUCCUUGAUGCAGGUGGGGGCAGGGAUGGGGUGCAAACCCCACAGCACUCAGUCCCUGUCUCUCUCAUUAUAUGCCACCGAGUCCUCCUCGGAAGGCUGGGGGUUCUGUCCCCUCACUCUUCCGCUUUGGUUUGCCACCAGACCCGUCCUAUUGCUGCGUGGCUGUCCCCCUUCCUGAAUUCAGCAGCCUGGCUUCCCCAGGUGAGGCUUGCCAGAUAAACAGAGGAUCCCAGUUCAAUGGAAAGCUGUGCUAAACAACGGUGGUUCUCACUGUCAGUCAGGCACGCUCCUCCUUGGGGGCACGUGGGGGUGGCAUCCUGGGUUUCUUGUCAGGCGACUCAGGCAGUAAGCCAGACAGCAGGGCCUGGGUCCCUGUGACCCUGAGUUUCGCUGAUGGCAGCUUUGCCUCAGUGCCUUCCUCGUGGGUGGGGUGGUUCCCGUCUGAUACAAAGGCACAAUGGAUGUCAGGUGUUCCUGUGUGUGGCUGGUGGUCAGACCGGUGAGGCCGGCACUGGCACAGUGCUGGUGUGGCCUGGGCCGAGUUGUGCUCCCCAAAUUCAUCACUGAAGUCCUAACCCCCAGCACCUCAGAAUGUGACUGUGACUUGGGGUCUUUGAGGAGGUGAUUAACAUGAAAUGAGGUCACUGGGGUGGGCCCUCAUCCACUGUGCCUGAGGGCCUCAUAAGAAGAGGAGAUCAGGACACACGCACAGAGGGACGACCGUGUGGGGACACAGGGAGAAGACGGCCGUCUGCACGCCGAGGAGAGAGGCCUCAGCGCUGGCUCUGCUGACACCUGGACCUCGGCCUCCAGCCUCCAGGACUGGGGACAGUGAGUGUCUGUGGUUUAAGAUAUCAUCUGUGGGACUUGGUUAUGGCUGCCCUGGCACACCAAUCAGGGUGUCCAUGUUUUCCUGUGGAUUUCCGAGUGCAUUUAAUGUAUCGAUUCCAUUCCCCCUUGUCUGUCAUAUUGGACUCAAAACACUUUCCCAGUUUAUUAUUUGCUUUUUAAUAUUUUUAGAAUAUCUCUAUUGAUGUGUGAUUGACAUACGAUAAACUGCGCACAUCGAAAGCACAGCCUGAUGAGCUCUGGUGGACGUGAGGGUGAACAUAUCUCUCACCCCUAGAAACGUCCUCAGGCCCUGUGGUCCCUCUGCCAUCCCUCCCCCACAUUUCCAAGCAGCAGUGUGACGUGGCGAGCUUGCAUUUUAUAGAGUUUUCCAUAAAUGGAAGCAUAGUAUGUACUCUUUUCUGUUUGGCUUCUUUCUCUCAGCAUAACUAUUGUGAGACUCGUUCGUGCCUUGCGUGCGUCGGGCCUGCAUUCCUUCUGGCUGCCAUGGUAUAUGGACACACCACAGCUUGUUUAUCCAUCCACUGUUGACGGACAUUUGGGCUGUUUCCAGUUUUUGACGAUUAAAAACAAAGCAGUAUUUACAUUCA